rnacentral:rRNA from 1 species
AGUAACGGCGAGUGAAGCGGCAACAGCUCAAAUUUGAAAUCUGGCUCUUUUAGGGUCCGAGUUGUAAUUUGCAGAGGGCGCUUUGGCUUUGGCAGCGGUCCAAGUUCCUUGGAACAGGACGUCACAGAGGGUGAGAAUCCCGUACGUGGUCGCUAGCUAUUGCCGUGUAAAGCCCCUUCGACGAGUCGAGUUGUUUGGGAAUGCAGCUCUAAAUGGGAGGUAAAUUUCUUCUAAAGCUAAAUAUUGGCCAGAGACCGAUAGCGCACAAGUAGAGUGAUCGAAAGAUGAAAAGCACUUUGGAAAGAGAGUCAAACAGCACGUGAAAUUGUUGAAAGGGAAGCGCUUGCAGCCAGACUUGCUUGCAGUUGCUCAUCCGGGCUUUUGCCCGGUGCACUCUUCUGUAGGCAGGCCAGCAUCAGUUUGGGCGGUGGGAUAAAGGUCUCUGUCACGUACCUCUCUUCGGGGAGGCCUUAUAGGGGAGACGACAUACCACCAGCCUAGACUGAGGUCCGCGCAUCUGCUAGGAUGCUGGCGUAAUGGCUGUAAGCGGCCCGUCUUGAAACACGGACCAAGGAGUCUAACAUCUAUGCGAGUGUUUGGGUGUCAAGCCCGAGCGCGUAAUGAAAGUGAACGGAGGUGGGAACCCGCAAGGGUGCACCAUCGACCGAUCCUGAAGUUUUCGGAAGGAUUUGAGUAAGAGCAUGGCUGUUGGGACCCGAAAGAUGGUGAACUAUGCUUGAAUAGGGUGAAGCCAGAGGAAACUCUGGUGGAGGCUCGCAGCGGUUCUGACGUGCAAAUCGAUCGUCAAAUUUGGGCAUAGGGGCGAAAGACUAAUCGAACUAUCUAGUAGCUGGUUCCUGCCGAAGUUUCCCUCAGGAUAGCAGUAACGUAUUCAGUUUUAUGAGGUAAAGCGAAUGAUUAGAGGCAUGGGGGUUGAAACAACCUUCACCUAUUCUCAA